ACUAAGAGUAACACUCAAGAACUCUCAAGGAACCGUGAACCAGUUCUCUCUCAGUAUACUCAAGAACUCGCAAGCGUAAAGAAGACAAUCUGAACGUGCGUACCUCAGAAGUUCGUUGGGAAACCCUUAUAUACCUGGACACUUUCUCUCUCCUGGCAGUUACACAUCUGGACACGUGGCUCGCAUCCAGCUGUACACGUGCCAUCAUCUGGAGCCUCCUUGACUUGGGCGCUGCUUCUGACUCUCUUUUGGCUAAGUUACUUAUGCAUGAUACUACUCAGUGCAUAGUUGCCUUGGAGCGCGAUCUCUACUGGAUUGGCGAGUUAGGGUGCCUUCGUACACACCUUCCCUGUGGUCUCGCCGGCCGCCUUCAUGAUCUGCACCACCUGUUUCACCGUGUAUGCUCAAGCAAGCUGUCCCCCGACCUCAUCCUCUGGCCAGCUGGGAAAUGUCUAUCUGCCUUCAUCUCCGGCGAUGUCCUUGUUUCGGCGAUCUCCAAUCACU
rnacentral:lncRNA from 1 species